GAUGAACGCUAGCUACAGGCUUAACACAUGCAAGUCGAGGGGUAACAAGAAGAAAGCUUACUUUCCUUGUUGACGACCGGCGCACGGGUGAGUAACGCGUAUCCAACCUGCCUAUAACUAGGGAAUAACCUUGCGAAAGUAAGACUAAUGCCCUAUGACUUCCUUUGGCGGCAUCAAAAAAGGAAUAAAGAUUUAUCGGUUAUAGAUGGGGAUGCGUCUGAUUAGCUUGUUGGCGGGGUAACGGCCCACCAAGGCAACGAUCAGUAGGGGUUCUGAGAGGAAGUUCCCCCACAUUGGGACUGAGGCACGGUCCAAACUCCUACGGGAGGCAGCAGUGAGGAAUAUUGGUCAAUGGGCGGAAGCCUGAACCAGCCAAGUAGCGUGCAGGAUGACGGCCCUAUGAGUUGUAAACUGCUUUUAUACAGGAAUAAAGUUAGCCACGUGUGGUUAUUUGUAGGUACUGUAUGAAUAAGGACCGGCUAAUUCCGUGCCAGCAGCCGCGGUAA
rnacentral:rRNA from 1 species